AUGCAUGUGAGCUAUGCUAAUCUAAAACCAUCUGAUUGGGAGUUUAUUGUUAGUAAAUACCUGAAGAGGUUCGAGGCCUGGAUUGGAAACGCUGCCUCGAUGGGGUGGAGACACACCCUACUGGACUCCGUCGUCACGCAGAUCUCUCUCUAUCACAUGUCUAUGUGGCUCAUGAAUAAAACUUUCAUUGAAAAGCUAGAUAAGCAUAGGCGCAAGUUCUUUUGGCAAGGCUGCAACAAAAAAAGGAGAUACUAUCUUGUUAAGUGGGGCAAGAUAUGUAGAUCCAAAGACAAAGAGGGUUUAGGUAUAAAAGAUCUUCGUAAGCAAAAUAUUAGUCUCAUGGUUAAAUGGUGGUGGAAGUUAGAGACACAAAAUGGGCUGUGGCGGGAUAUAGUCCGGGCCAGGUACCUUCGCAACAAUUCUGUUGCGGAAGUUUCUUCCAAAUUCUCUGACUCGCCCUGUUGGAAAGCCUUUCUUAAGAUAAAAAACAUCUAUAUGAUGGGCAGAAAGAUUGAGACUGGUGCUGGGAACCUGAUUAGAUUAUGGAAAGAUCCAAUAAAUGGGCUGAUCCCAUUUCAGGAUAAAUACCCACGCUUAUUUGAGAUUUGCAAUUAUCCAACGAGCACCCUGGACAAAAGAGAUGAACUUGAUGACACUUCUAUAUUCAGACGCAGGCUUACUCCUGAGCUGUUCAAACAG
rnacentral:rRNA from 1 species